AACGAACGCUGGCGGCAUGCCUAACACAUGCAAGUCGAACGCCUGUAGCAAUACAGGAGUGGCAGACGGGUGCAAAACGCGUGGAAACCUAUCCCUGGGUUCGGAAUAACCGCGGGAAACUGCGGCUAAUACCGGAUACGUCCUUCGGGAGAAAGAUUUAUCGCCCAUUGAGGGGUCCGCGUCUGAUUAGCUAGUUGGUGAGGUAAUGGCUCACCAAGGCGACGAUCAGUAGCUGGUCUGAGAGGAUGAUCAGCCACACUGGAACUGAGACACGGUCCAGACUCCUACGGGAGGCAGCAGUGGGGAAUAUUGGACAAUGGGCGCAAGCCUGAUCCAGCCAUGCCGCGUGAGUGAUGAAGGCCUUAGGGUUGUAAAGCUCUUUCACCGGAGAAGAUAAUGACGGUAUCCGGAGAAGAAGCCCCGGCUAACUUCGUGCCAGCCGCCGCGGUAAUAC
rnacentral:rRNA from 1 species